rnacentral:rRNA from 1 species
UGGGGAAUAUUGCACAAUGGGCGCAAGCCUGAUGCAGCCAUGCCGCGUGUAUGAAGAAGGCCUUCGGGUUGUAAAGUACUUUCAGCGGGGAGGAAGGGAGUAAAGUUAAUACCUUUGCUCAUUGACGUUACCCGCAGAAGAAGCACCGGCUAACUCCGUGCCAGCAGCCGCGGUAAUACGGAGGGUGCAAGCGUUAAUCGGAAUUACUGGGCGUAAAGCGCACGCAGGCGGUUUGUUAAGUCAGAUGUGAAAUCCCCGGGCUCAACCUGGGAACUGCAUCUGAUACUGGCAAGCUUAAGUCUCGUAGAGGGGGGUAGAAUUCCAGGUGUAGCGGUGCAAUGCGUAGAGAUCUGAAGGAAUACCGGUAGCGAAGGCGGCCCCCUGGACGAAGACUGACGCUCAGGUGCGAAAGCGUGGGGAGCAAACAGG